UAUCCAGUGAGGAAAAACUUACUAAUCAUAGCAUCUUUCUGGAUUGAUCGGUCGCUAUGUGGCCAUGCUGUAAUUCUGCAAUUCUGAGUACA